AAAACUAAUUGGCACAAUGCGAAUUCCACACACAAGCCACAAAGAAGCCAUCAGCCGCGGUCAACAUCACCUUCCUGAUUGAACAGAACCACGCGCUGUCUGUGUGGUUUACAAGUUUCUUGGCGAUAUGGGGGAAAAGUUCCUCACAUACCAACGGAAAAUGGGCGUCAUAUACAUGCUGCUGUCUCAUAAUAUGGCGAAGACGAGUCACCUGAAGGCCUAACUCGCCAUAGAAGACUGAAAGAAUUGUCCUGCAGGAUGCUGUGUCCUGCAAUCCUGUGUGCUGUGCUACAGACGCGUGUGGAGGUCAACCCAAAAUGGGCACAGUCUCACCGCAGAAGAGUGAAAGAGGGUAAGCUUAACCUAUAGCCUACGUCAGGGUCGGGGAACGUUUCUCAUUCGAAGGGCCGCUUCAAAUUCAUCCGAGGGGCCGUAAAAGUCCUCCAAGGGCCGUACUAUGAACACAAACCAGGAUUUUCCCUUUCACUUUAGGCCUAUAUUGAAGGCAGCCACAUUUAAACAAACACCACC